rnacentral:tRNA from 1 species
GGUCUGGUGGUCUAGUGGUAUGAUUCUCGCUUAGGGCACACCCUAAAGCAUUAGCUUAGCUUGCGAGAGGUCCCGGGUUCAAUCCCCGGCCAGACCC